UUUUUUUUUGUUUUUUUGGGGUUUUUUUUGUCUGUUUGUUUUGGUUUCGUUGUUACAUCAAUGGCAGCAAAAGCUACCUAUUUCAGUUGUAGGAAGUAGGAUAUGUCUAAUGUCAUGACCUCUGCUGAUGGUCUAGCUAAACGUAGAUGUUUUGUCCCCUUGGUCCUUAUUUGCCCGAAGCUGUGGGUGUAAACAGGGCUUCUCAUAGCCCGUUGUCAAUCCUGAACUAACACUCAAUAGCAGUGUCAGAUCCAGUCUUCUGUGUACCUCUCUGGGAGGCAGCCCGACGCCUUUAGUUACAAGAUAAUUGGUUUUCAACCAUCUCUUCUUUCACUACACCUUCUUGGACUUUCUACAACACAGAAACACUGUGUUUGCAAGUGUUUCUACCAAAAGCAUAAAGAUACUUACAAAUAUGUAGUAAGAGACAGGAAUGUGGAGAUAUUGGUUCUCUGGAGACCUUUUUUUCCACAAAAUAAAGGAGUGUUCUGUCUUCUGUUCAUACUGUAUUUCAAACUAGUUCUGUCUCUUUUUCCUGUGAGUUUGGGGGGGAGGGGGGAAAGAAAGAAGAAAUAUUUAAUUACUUCAAUGAGUGUUGGUUUAGGAUUGGUUGAAAUCUGAUUUUAAAAAUAAUUAAAAUAAAAUGACUAGGUAUAUCAUCUCUUCCCUGGGAGUGCUUACCCCACCAGGGCACUUAAAAGACACAAAUGUCUUCAGAGGUUCACUCUCCAGCACUUGGUACUUUGGCUUGCCUUUUCUAUAUUCAAAUCCUCGCUUUCUUCUGUAACAGGUCUGAACAUUUACAUUUUCUUCCUGAGAUUUAAAGCACAUGAGGCUUAUUAUUCUGUGUAAGUAGGCAAUGAAGUUAAUGUUAUUUCCACGCUUUUGUUCCAGGCUAGGUGGGAUGAUAACUUCCUUUUCUAAAACAGUUUCUAUUUUUCCUUUUUUUCCCUGAAGUUUUCGAAGAUUUUGAACACAGGAUUUAAAGCCUGUAGACACAAUAAAUCUGGGUGAAUUGGAGGGGAUGUUGCCUGUUUUAAAGCUUGGGAGUCAUGUUCUGAAAGAGUAAUUUUUUGUAGUGUGUAAUAGCAAACUCUGCUUUUCUAAGUGCCAUUAUGCCUGAAGGUAUUUUAUUAAAGUUUGACAGAGGACACCGCAAUUGAAAAUAUCCUGUCAAAUUAUUUCAGGCAUCCACAUGCUGGCAUUCACAUGCAAUUGAGGUGUGGUUUUUGUAGCUCACAGCACUGCUGGCUCCUUGUCCAAAGAAUGAACUAGAUUUUCACCAGCUCUGAAAUCACCAUACAUAACUCCAUGCCUAGAACUUUCCAUCCCCUUCAGGCAACUUCCCAAGGAAGUUCUGGGCUUUGGCAGCUCUGAGGCCAAAGCCUCUGGGGAGGUUACACUCUUUUGGCACAGCUUUCCCGAGGAGGGAGAGGCUGGUGAAAAUCCUGUGGGCAUCCCGGUGUGAGUGCCACUCCCCCUGCCAUGUUUCGGAGGGGACUUCCCGGAGCUCUGGGCUUCCUUCCCACGGCAUGGACAGCCUGCAGGCAGGAGGGCCGGUGUGUGAAUGGAUGCGCGAUGUGAAUGAAUGAUGUGUGAAUGGAUGCGCUGCCGCCGUGCCAGCCGAGCUCUGCCAAGCACCUGUCCUCAGACCCCAGCUCGAGAGGCUGAGCUGGGCUCCUGCCCGCCUGGAGGGUCGGGAGAGAAAACUAAAAGCUCCUUCUCAGAAUUACAGGCUACUCUGAGUUGGAAAGGGGGCGACCAGCAUCAUAGGGUCCGACUUGUCCCACCCGCCCUGCCCCAGAUGAGUUUGCGCCCAGACGCCAAACAUCCAACAUGCUCUGUGAUGGGCUCGCUCUCCGUAUGUCCCUCAAAGAGCUAAGAAACAACGUUGUUGUUUGGGUUGUUUGUUUGGUUUGGGGUUUUGGGGGGGUUUUGUUUGUUUGGAUUUUUUGUUUGUUUUUGGGUUUGGUUUUGUUUUGCUUUGCUUUGCUUUGUUGUUUGUUUUUGAGAGAGAGGAAUGAUUCCCCAUCCCUGCCGCUCCCAUUUCUAAAAAUAGAUCAUGAAUGCAAAGGAGGUACAAACUACAGGUGAGCUUUCUUUUUUGUACUUUAAGUGUUAUUUUCAAUAAGAAAAUAAACUAUUUGGCUAUUU
ensembl:lncRNA